UACGGGGGGAGCAAGCGUUGUUCGGAUUUACUGGGCGUAAAGGGCGCGUAGGCGGUCAGCACAAGUCAGUUGUGAAAUCUCCGGGCUUAACUCGGAAAGGUCAACUGAUACUGUGCGACUAGAGUGCGGAAGGGGCAACUGGAAUUCUUGGUGUAGCGGUGAAAUGCGUAGAUAUCGAGAGGAACACCUGCGGCGAAGGCGGGUUGCUGGGCUGACACUGACGCUGAUGCGCGAAAGCGUGGGGAGCAAACAGG
rnacentral:rRNA from 1 species